rnacentral:lncRNA from 1 species
AAUUUUAAAAGAAAAUGGAAAUCUCGAAAGGUGGGAAAUUUAUUCAAAAUAAAAUAUAACAAUAAAGAGUAAUGAGCUUUAAGGGAGAAUAUAAUGAGCUUUAUCCUUCUAAUAUGUUUACACAUCUAAACAACGACAUAAACUACAAAAGAGACAUAACAGCUAACAGCAAAGCUAGCUGACAUUAUAUUUUGAAAAACCAUUGGCAUUAAAAAGAAAUAUGAUGUUUAACCUCUAUGUACCCCAAAAAAAAUAUAUAUAUAUGAAUUUCUGAAUAGCAGUAGGAGGCCUUGGAUUAUGCCACCAAGUGGCAACAUCACAAUGCGGCUUCAAAUUUACAAUACAGACCCAGAUUAAGCUUCUUUUAAGCACAAAAAUAAUCAAUGGAAAUUUCGUACUAGGACAACAACUCGUGAACACACUCAGAUUAUGUAGCAAUUAUUUGCUCAUUAUUGUUUUUAUUUAUCAAAUCUAUAAAUUUUCCAUCUUGACAUUAAUUGAAGCAAAGUUUAGAUAAGGAGGGGAUUCGUAUUCAUUUCGAAAUAUAUUCACCAAUAAUCUUUAUAGAAUCUAGCAAGGGACCCUUAAAUCUGUAAGGGAUUUGCUGAAUCAACCUAGACUGAUAGAUAGGAAAAACUCUAAAGUGGUAUUAUUUCGUUGAAACAAGUUGACAAAACAUAUUUCAACUAUCUAUUUUGGAUUAAAAAGAAUCCAUCACUCGAAUUCCUUUCAAUCUCCAAUCAUUCGCUCUCCAGGAGAUGUUCCAAAAAUCAAUCAUAAUCUCUCUAAUCACUCUGAUUGAAAUUAAUUAGAAAACAAGUAAUGUAAUCUAGACAGUCUAACUGAUCAAAUCCUCCAAAGUUUGGUAGUUAAGUAUGAUUAUUGGAGAAGAUACGAUUUGUCUUCAGCCAGCUUUUUUCCCCAUCAAGGGAGCGCUGUCCAACAUUAAAGGUCAAGUGAAGCAACACUCAAUUUGCACCGAUUUUAUCUAGCUGAAAAUGAUACAAGAAAUUAUUACAAUAGUAGCGAUAGCUGCCAUGGAAUGCACAUAUUUCGGGGAAAACAAAUUUAUUAGUCAAAAUUUGUGCAAAAAUCAACACUAAACCUAGAUAGCUCAAAUAUACUUUUGAGUCAACUGCCAAUCUACUUUCUUGAUGUUUUAUUUGUAAGGCGUAAUGCCGAAGUAUAUUGUUAGGUUCAUUCCAAUUUUCAAUUAUUAUUAUUAUUUAAGUAGCAUCCCAAAAUAUAUAAUAGCUAUUCAUUAAACUCUAACAUAUUGCGUUCAAAGCCUCAAAUUAAUUGACUAUAAAACACAUCACUAAUAUGCAGUCAUAAACAAAUCCAUUUAUUUUUUUUCCCUUUUUCUUGGGGCGAUGUUUUAGGGUUUUCGUUUUCAAUGUUUAAUAUUUAUACUAUUUUAAUUCAAUUCUAAUAUAAAAUGACAUUUUAGCAUAUAUAAAAGCUAACACUACACUCGUUUGACUUAUUGACUGGCGGGGUGAUUUAUUCAGGUAGAACUUUUUUUCAUUUUUUUUCUCCCAUAAAAUAAGCCCUAAUUUUCAGGCAGCCUCAAGGAAUAUUGUAGGUUGUAACAAGCUUAACAGUCUAAAAACCGAAUAUUUAGUAAUGAUUAGAAAACUGUCCACCAAUGUAAAGUCCAUUGUAUGUUAAUUUUGGACACAUCAGCAUCUGAAAAUUCUCACAGUCAAAUCAUCAUUUUUGUGAGGUUUUAUCCAAAUUCUUUCCUACUGUAUUCUUUAAAUUGUAUUUUAAUGUUUCAAAACUCCUUUGGGAUACUUGUUUAAUAUUUGCUCUUGAUUUGUUCAUAUAAAUGGUCAACUCAACGUUAUCAGCUUAUCUGAAAAGUAAAUUAUUUCAUAUUUUGGUUAUUACGAGGCGGCAGCCCCUAACCUCAAGGGAAGCUAAGGAAAGAAGUAAGGUUAAUUUCUUCGUACUCAAUAUUUUUGAACCUAGAUUUGAAUGCAUGAUUGCACGCAUUAAAAAAUAAAAAAUAAAAAUUGCAGAAUUGUUAUAAUUGUAAUUCGUUUUAUCAGGACGAAACUGUAUGUAUAAAACCAAAUUAUCAUCGCAAUACAUAUUUAUAGCAAACGAUGACCUUUAUAAUAGGUGUCAAGGGAAUAACCAGCGGUACAGUCAAGGGCGGAGCCAGCGUGGGACGAGGUGGGGCACAGGCCCCAGCUGGCUUUUAUUUAUUUUUUGAUAAUUAUACUAAAAAUAUGUAUUUUAUUUAUUAUUUAUGAAAAAUGUCCCAACUGAAUUGUAAAAUUUGAAAUUGACUCCAGUAAUUUUAAAAUAUUUCAUACUGUUCCUAAUUUAAAUUUUUAAUUAUAAAUUAUUUAAUUAAUUAUUAACAUUUCAUGAAACUUUAUUAAAGACACGAGAACAAAUGUUAAAAUAAAAAAUAAUCAUAACAAAAUGUUAGUAUAAUGGUUAAUGGACCAGUUUUUAAUUUUUUUUUAUUUUUUAUUCAAGUAAAAUUAAUUAUUUAGUCUUUCAACACUGACCAUAAGUUGUA